AGCAGCCGCGGUAAUUCCAGCUCCAAUAGCGUAUAUUAAAGUUGUUGCAGUUAAAAAGCUCGUAGUUGAAUUUCGGGGUUAGCAGGUCGGUCGUGCCAUUGGUAUGAACUGGUCUCGCUGAUCCCUCCCUCUUGACGAACUGUGAUGCCGUUAAUUUGGUGUCGCAGGGAAUCAGGACUGUUACUUUGAAAAAUUAGAGUGUUUAAAGCAGGCUCACGCUUGAAUACAUUAGCAUGGAAUAAUGAAAUAGGACGUUUGAUCCUAUUUUGUUGGCUUCUAGGAUUGACGUAAUGAUUAAUAGGGAUAGUUGGGGGCAUUAGUAUUCAAUUGUCAGAGGUGAAAUUCUUGGAUUUAUUGAAGACUAACUACUGCGAAAGCAUUUGCCAAGGAUGUUUUCAUUAAUCAAGAACGAAAGUUAGGGGAUCGAAGACGAUCAGAUACCGUCGUAGUCUUAACCAUAAACUAUGCCGACUAGGGAUCGGAUGAUGUUAAUUUUUAAUGACUCAUUC
rnacentral:misc_RNA from 1 species